UGGGGGAUCGUCCAAUGGUAGGACAACGGUUUCUGGUACCGUUUAUUCAGGUUCGAAUCCUGGUCCCCCAG
rnacentral:tRNA from 1 species